rnacentral:rRNA from 1 species
CCUUUACACUGCACGACAGUGCGAUAGGGGGACUCCGAGUGCGAGGGCAUAUAGUCCUCGCUUUUCUGUACCGUAAGGUGGUACAGGAACAAGGGCUGGGCAAGACCGGUGCCAGCCGCCGCGGUAAUACCGGCAGCACGAGUGAUGGCCGAUAUUAUUGGGCCUAAAGCGUCCGUAGCUGGCCGUGCAAGUCCAUUGGGAAAUCCACCCGCUCAACGGGUGGGCGUCCGGUGGAAACUGCGCGGCUUGGGGCCGGAAGACUCGACGGGUACGUCCGGGGUAGGAGUGAAAUCCUGUAAUCCUGGACGGACCACCAAUGGGGAAAGCACGUCGAGAGAACGGAUCCGACAGUGAGGGACGAAAGCCAGGGUCUCGAACCGGAUUAGAUACCCGGG